rnacentral:rRNA from 1 species
AUAUUGCACAAUGGGGGAAACCCUGGUGCAGCAACGCCGCGUGAGUGAUGACGGCCUUCGGGUUGUAAAGCUCUGUCUUCAGGGACGAUAAUGACGGUACCUGAGGAGGAAGCCACGGCUAACUACGUGCCAGCAGCCGCGGUAAUACGUAGGUGGCAAGCGUUGUCCGGAUUUACUGGGCGUAAAGGGAGCGUAGGCGGACUUUUAAGUUAGAUGUGAAAUACCCGGGCUCAACCUGGGUGCUGCAUUUCAAACUGGAAGUCUAGAGUGCAGGAGAGGAGAGUGGAAUUCCUAGUUUAGCGGUGAAAUUCGUAGAGAUUAGGAAGAACACCAGUGGCGAAGGCGACUCUCUGAACUGUAACUGACGCUGCGGCUCGAAAGCGUGGGGAGCAAACA